UAGUAACAGAAGGGAAAUGAACAGUAGAAGGGUUCCCAGGUUUCUCAAUUCUACAUCUGCCGGUCAUCACCACGUGUUCCCUUUUAGGUUUUUCACCUUUCCACGCGUCUCCGUCUGCUCACCAUAUGGGUCGUCUCCACUGCUGCACAAGUUAUGGUCGAUUGGAAGUUAAAGUCCACCGCCUCUUUCCGGCGAAGAAAAAGGAAAACCGGUGAGGGAAAUCCAUGAUUGAUGAAGAAAGCGGCGGUGAUUUCAACUCAUACGGUGACGGUGGUUUGGAUUCCGUAUGACAAGCUCUGUUCUGGCUGUUUUCGAUUCUGAUCAGGAAAUACUCCUGAAUCAGGUAUCAAGCAAAGAACUUUACCGAAUCAGAUCACGGGGUGUGUGAUUUUCUAUAGUAAAUCAUCAUCUCAACCUAAUAUCUCUGUUAAAAUUCUGUGAGGUAAGUGAAUUUAACCUACAAAUGCUUCUGUUGCUUGGUAUCUAAGAAAAUUGAGUGCGGUGUUGGUGUUGUGUUCAUGUUAGUUGAGUUUGGAGGCUGAAAUGAGGAACUUUGGAACUUUGGGCUCAACAGUAGGAAGUUUUCACCAACACUGGUUUGAUUUUUAAUAAUUAGGCCUUGAUGAUUCACCUUUUCGACUUACUCCGGUCGUGCUUCCUGCUUCCUGGUGGUAUGACAGUUCGCUAGAUGGUUUCGAACUUUGCAGAACUUCUGCUGGUUGUUCUUCAGGUAGAAAUGUUGUCAAAGGUGAAUUACAAGAAAUAUGUAAAUCUUAUUGGAUAAUUUAAAGAACAAAAACCUUUCAUUAAAGUUACGGUUUUUGAAUAUACUCCAAAUGGAACUCUCUUCGAGCACCUACACAAUCGGCGCUGCAAGUCUUCAACACCGACGACUAACCGAUUCAUUAAACAUCGCGGAACAUAGGAAACAAAUCCCCCACUAGGGGUGACAAGAGAAAGAACAAAGAAAAUGAGAGGAUACUUAGAUGUCUUCAUGACUUCACUAAUGACAAGAAAACUACUUAUCGUUAUGUAAAGAACAAAGACAACUGAUUAUGUGUUCAAUGCAGUUGGCCUUUUGGUCUUUUUGCUUAUGGCUAUCAUGCUUGAUAUAACACACAAUAUGAACCAUCACCGGUUUGUAGGUCAGAUUGCAUAUGGUUGUUUGUAAAAUGGGUCAACUUUCCUCACUGCAUCGCGUGGGCCACAGGUGAAAUGGAUGCAAGCAGAAAUGAAGUGGAUGCAAGCAUAGUGUUAAUGGCGCAUAGCGACAAAUAGCGAUAAGUGGAGGUGGAACCUGAAGGCUGGCGAAUAACAAAAAAAAAAAGUGAAAGCAACGACAUUAAUGUUGCCAUGGCAUUACCUUUUUCAAAGUUGGUGAACAAUCUUGGUACCAUUGCAAGAACUUGCCCUAAGAUUUAAUGGAAGGUAUUAUUGGUGGUGCUAAAGUUAGCAUGAUUGGACAGUUUGAUGUCGUUGGGUACAAAUAUGUUGGCAGCUUAAUUUAUAUUUCACUGCUGCACUGCAUGAUUGCUUGAAGGAAGUAACAAUAGUUUAGGUUCAGGCAAUAGUAAAAAUCUGUGAACCAUGUUGAUGUCUCCAUGGCGAAUUUCGUGGUUAACUACCAGUUGUUUUUUUUUCGAUUUUUUCGAUAAGUAUAUUUUUAUCUA